rnacentral:rRNA from 1 species
AACGAACGCUGGCGGCAGGCUUAACACAUGCAAGUCGAGCGAAUGGAUUAAGAGCUUGCUCUUAUGAAGUUAGCGGCGGACGGGUGAGUAACACGUGGGUAACCUGCCCAUAAUACUGGGAUAACUCCGGGAAACCGGGGCUAAUACCGGAUAACAUUUUGAACCGCACGGUUCGAAAUUGAAAGGCGGCUUCGGCUGUCACUUAUGGAUGGACCCGCGUCGCAUUAGCUAGUUGGUGAGGUAACGGCUCACCAAGGCAACGAUGCGUAGCCGGCCUGAGAGGGUGAUCGUCCACACUGGGACUGAGACACGGCCCAGACUCCUACGGGAGGCAGCAGUAGGGAAUCUUCCGCAAUGGACGAAAGUCUGACGGAGCAACGCCGCGUGAGUGAUGAAGGCUUUCGGGUCGUAAAACUCUGUUGUUAGGGAAGAACAAGUGCUAGUUGAAUAAGCUGACACCUUGACGGUACCUGACCAGAAAGCCACGGCUAACUACGUGCCAGCCGCCGCCGUAA